GACGAACGCUGGCGGCGUGCUUAACACAUGCAAGUCGAACGGAAAGGCCCUGCUUUUGUGGGGUGCUCGAGUGGCGAACGGGUGAGUAACACGUGAGUAACCUGCCCUUGACUUUGGGAUAACUUCAGGAAACUGGGGCUAAUACCGGAUAGGAGCUCCUGCUGCAUGGUGGGGGUUGGAAAGUUUCGGCGGUUGGGGAUGGACUCGCGGCUUAUCAGCUUGUUGGUGGGGUAGUGGCUUACCAAGGCUUUGACGGGUAGCCGGCCUGAGAGGGUGACCGGCGGGAGUGGGAAGGAGAGACGGCGCAGAGGCGUACGGGAGGAAGCAGGGGGGAAGAGGGAAGACGGGGGGGAAGCGUGAGGCAGCAACGCCGGGGGAGGGAUGAAGGGGGGCGGGGUGGAAAACGCUGGCGGCGGGGACGAAGGGGGAGGGACGGUAAUGGGUAAAGAAGAAACGGCUAACUAAGGG
rnacentral:rRNA from 1 species